AGUGGCAUAUCUGGAUUACAUGUUAAGUGUAUGUUCAACUUUAUAAGAAUUUUCCAAUCUCUUUUCCAAAGUUGCUAGGUUAUUUCAAAUUCCUAUUGGCAAU
rnacentral:pre_miRNA from 1 species